rnacentral:rRNA from 1 species
ACCGGGGCUAAACAUAUUACCGAAGCUGUGGAUUGUCCUUUGGACAAUGGUAGGAGAGCGUUCUAAGGGCGUCGAAGCAUGAUCGCAAGGACAUGUGGAGCGCUUAGAAGUGAGAAUGCCGGUGUGAGUAGCGAAAGACGGGUGAGAAUCCCGUCCACCGAUUGACUAAGGUUUCCAGAGGAAGGCUCGUCCGCUCUGGGUUAGUCGGGUCCUAAGCUGAGGCCGACAGGCGUAGGCGAUGGAUAACAGGUUGAUAUUCCUGUACCACCUAGUAUCGUUUUAAUCGAUGGGGGGACGCAGUAGGAUAGGCGAAGCGUGCUGUUGGAGUGCACGUCCAAGCAGUAAGGCUGAGUGUUAGGCAAAUCCGGCACUCAUAAGGCUGAGCUGUGAUGGGGAGAGGAAAUUGUUUCCUCGAGUCGUUGAUUUCACACUGCCGAGAAAAGCCUCUAGAUAGAUAACAGGUGCCCGUACCGCAAACCGACACAGGUAGUCAAGAUGAGAAUUCUAAGGUGAGCGAGCGAACUCUCGUUAAGGAACUCGGCAAAAUGACCCCGUAACUUCGGGAGAAGGGGUGCUCUUUAGGGUUCACGCCCAGAAGAGCCGCAGUGAAUAGGCCCAAGCGACUGUUUAUCAAAAACACAGGUCUCUGCUAAACCGUAAGGUGAUGUAUAGGGGCUGACGCCUGCCCGGUGCUGGAAGGUUAAGAGGAGUGGUUAGCUUCUGCGAAGCUACGAAUCGAAGCCCCAGUAAACGGCGGCCGUAACUAUAACGGUCCUAAGGUAGCGAAAUUCCUUGUCGGGUAAGUUCCGACCCGCACGAAAGGCGUAACGAUUUGGGCACUGUCUCAACGAGAGACUCGGUGAAAUCAUAGUACCUGUGAAGAUGCAGGUUACCCGCGACAGGACGGAAAGACCCCGUGGAGCUUUACUGUAGCCUGAUAUUGAAAUUCGGCACAGCUUGUACAGGAUAGGUAGGAGCCUUUGAAACGUGAGCGCUAGCUUACGUGGAGGCGUUGGUGGGAUACUACCCUAGCUGUGUUGGCUUUCUAACCCGCACCACUUAUCGUGGUGGGAGACAGUGUCAGGCGGGCAGUUUGACUGGGGCGGUCGCCUCCUAAAAGGUAACGGAGGCGCUCAAAGGUUCCCUCAGAAUGGUUGGAAAUCAUUCAUAGAGUGUAAAGGCAUAAGGGAGCUUGACUGCGAGACCUACAAGUCGAGCAGGGUCGAAAGACGGACUUAGUGAUCCGGUGGUUCCGCAUGGAAGGGCCAUCGCUCAACGGAUAAAAGCUACCCCGGGGAUAACAGGCUUAUCUCCCCCAAGAGUUCACAUCGACGGGGAGGUUUGGCACCUCGAUGUCGGCUCAUCGCAUCCUGGGGCUGUAGUCGGUCCCAAGGGUUGGGCUGUUCGCCCAUUAAAGCGGUACGCGAGCUGGGUUCAGAACGUCGUGAGACAGUUCGGUCCCUAUCCGUCGUGGGCGUAGGAAAUUUGAGAGGAGCUGUCCUUAGUACGAGAGGACCGGGAUGGACAUACCUCUGGUGUACCAGUUGUCGUGCCAACGGCAUAGCUGGGUAGCUAUGUAUGGACGGGAUAAGUGCUGAAAGCAUCUAAGCAUGAAGCCCCCCUCAAGAUGAGAUUUCCCAACUUCGGUUAUAAGAUCCCUCGAAGAUGACGAGGUUAAUAGGUUCGAGGUGGAAGCGUGGUGACACGUGGAGCUGACGAAUACUAAUCGAUCGAAGACUUAAUCAAUUUUUUAAA